CUUGGAGUUCGAGAGGAGGAUAGAAAAUCUCGAAGAAGAAAAGAUGUACUUGAGUUUUGACAUUGAUGUUCAAAAGAUGGAAGUCGAGAAAGAGAGGAAAGAAAAAAGGAAGAUUGAGGAAGAUCGAGAUGAUCUAAGGGAGCAUUACAAAAGGGCACAAGUAGCCUUGAGGAGGGUGAGAGUAGGAGGAUCUUUGAAUCAGUGGCAGAAGGAGGUUCAAGAAGAAAAGGAUAGAGCCGAGUACUGGG
rnacentral:lncRNA from 1 species